rnacentral:rRNA from 1 species
CCAACCUGGUUGAUCCUGCCAGUAGUCAUAUGCUUGUCUCAAAGAUUAAGCCAUGCAUGUCUCAGUAUAAGUCUUAACACGGCGAAACUGCGAAUGGCUCAUUAAAACAGUUAUAGUCUACUUGAUUUUCGAAUGUUAUAAGGGUAACUGCGGAAAAUCUGGAGCUAAUACUUGCGUCAAAGCCCAACUUCUUG